UACAGAGGUCCCAAGCGUUGUUCGGAUUCACUGGGCGUAAAGGGUGCGUAGGUGGUGGGGUAAGUCUGAUGUGAAAUCUCCGAGCUCAACUCGGAAAUGGCAUUGGAAACUACUCUGCUCGAGGGUUGGAGGGGGGACUGGAAUACUUGGUGUAGCAGUGAAGUGCGUAGAUAUCAAGUGGAACACCAGUGGCGAAGGCGCGUCCCUGGACAACUCCUGACACUGAGGCACGAAAGCUAGGGGAGCAAACAGG
rnacentral:rRNA from 1 species